rnacentral:lncRNA from 1 species
GAAAGACUGAGCAAGAAUGAUGAGUGCAGUCAGCCCCAGGCCAUGUGUUUAAAAUACACUAUCAGAUGUGAGAGCACAUUUCUGAGGAGGUCUCCAGCGGCAACUUGGAAAACAAGCUAAGCCCAGCAUGUUAUAUUUGUGCAUGGGAUAAAGGAGGAAGAGGAUGCCAUUUUGAAACCUUGCUCUCAGCUGCGCUGCCAUGGAGAGGGGAGUUGCUCUGCAAGUUGCUCACAAUGUAUCGGGAGGGAGCUUCCCAUGCGCACUGGUAAUGUUUGAGAACUGUUUUUGGAGUCAAGAAAGAAGAAUUUGGGGAUUCAGAGGCCAAGGAGAUGGACAAGGGAAGCAUCUCCAAAAGAUCACCUAUGGACCAAGAGGAGAUCGUAUCUGUUUUAAGGAGCCAUGUCUAAGGAAUCCUUGCACGUAUGGAAGAAUUAUAUCUCUCAACCUCCUCCAUAGAGGCCCACCAUGGACUGAGACUUGAGGUCCCACAUGGUACAGACUUUGGGGGCCAAGAAACAAGAAAGGGACAUGGUCAUGAAGACUUCUCAUUGAGCGAGUGGCCAGAAGCAUCUCAGUGGUCAAGUAGAGCAAAGGUAGGUUCU